AGUCAUGGCGACAGUGGUCCAACCGCUCUCUCUGGAUCGAGAUGUUGCCAGGGCCAUUGAGCUGCUGGAGAAGCUGCAGGAGUCGGGUGACGUUCCCGGUCAUAAGCUCCAGUCCCUGAAGAAGGUCCUUCAGAGCGAGUUCUGCACAGCCAUCAGAGAGGUGUACCAGUACAUGCAUGAAACCAUUACAGUGAAUGGCUGUCCAGAGUACCAGGCGAGGGCCACGGCCAAGGCCACAGUUGCAGCCUUCGCAGCCAGUGAAGGUCACUCCCACCCACGAGUCGUGGAGCUCCCCAAGACGGAGGAAGGACUGGGUUUCAACGUGAUGGGCGGCAAGGAGCAGAACUCCCCCAUCUACAUCUCCCGCAUCAUCCCCGGAGGCGUGGCCGAAAGACAUGGCGGCCUAAAGCGAGGGGAUCAACUCCUGUCGGUCAAUGGCGUGAGCGUUGAAGGAGAGCACCACGAGAAAGCGGUGGAGCUGCUGAAGGCGGCCAAGGACAGCGUGAAGCUGGUGGUUCGCUACACCCCCAAAGUGCUGGAGGAGAUGGAGGCCCGCUUCGAGAAACUCCGUACGGCCCGGCGGCGCCAGCAGCAGCAGCUCCUCAUGCAGCAGCAGCAACAGCAGAACCUGACCUCUCAGCAGAACCACAUGUCGUAGGUGAGGCGCUUCAUUGCUUUAAGGGUGAGGGGAGAGAGGGGAGAGCAACAGGAGCAUGAGGUUGUUCCAAAAGAAGAAGAAGUGAAGGAGAGCGAAGACGUGGAUCUCGAGGACCACCUGUUUGUUGUUGAGGAUCCCAAAGGAAUCUCUCCGCCGCGGAGGAAACCAACAAGUGGAGGACUCUUUUACUUACUCUCUCCCUUCCAGUGUACCACCGAUUACUGAGCAAAAACAAAGAGCGCCAUACGCCCCGAAAUUGGUGCUUUGAAAAACAAGUAUGAGGGAGUCAAGCACUGAACGUCGUCCAUUUUAACUUUGUAUUCCCUUUUAUAAGUUGUUCUCCCGGUUGUGACUCUUACUGAAAGUCCCCUUCUCUUGUGUUUGUUGUUUUGUUUACAGUCAUCCAUUUUUGAUUGCUUACCGACAUCCAUUAUACCAUCGUGGCACCUUUGCCAUUUUGCCAUAGAUAUCAUUUGUACAGUGGUGUUUCUAUUGAUUCUUCAACUGGUGCUCGUGUCUCUGUAUGAAUGAUCAUCAGUUUCUUUCUGUGUGUGUCCUGUUUUGGAUAAACGUGAACUCUUUUUUACCUUCUAUAUUGUAGCAGGAAAGAUUUUUGUAUCUUGUAGGUUUAGCAAUAACACACAUUCUUCAGUUUUUACCAUUUCACCACUAAAUUCAUGAUUGGAUUCAUGCAUAUAUAUACAGAGUUUAUGGGAUAUAGGCGCACAUGUAAAUCACUGUAAAGCAAAACUGGGUCUUAUGUACUGUAAGGCAGCUUCUGUGUCCAAAUCUGUCCUCUUUGCCAUUUAAAGAGAUUAUUGAUUUACAGGUGGCAUGAAUAAUUGAUGUGCAAUAAUUAUCAACAGACUUUGUAAGCUACUCCCGACUGAGAUUUAUCCAGAAAUAUAUACCACCAAGAGAUUUUAACGUGGUUCAAAUCAACCCUCGGAAAUGUUAACUGACAAACAGAAUGUUACCAGUUUUUAUUUGAGCAGAGCGAAAAUUAAAAAUCAAAGAAUUAUGUUUAUUUUUCAGACUAUUUUAUGAGAUCAGAGAUUUAACAUAAAGUUUUAUUGUCCCUUUUAAAUAUUAUGUGCUCUUUCAAAGACGUUCAGAUUAUUAUUUAAAGUCUAUUUGUUGUAUUAACAGCUGAAUAUUAGCACAUGUAGAUUUGUUCCCUGCGUUUUUGUUCUGACAAUCAUUUUUGAGAAGUUAUGAGGCUGAGUGGAAUGUUUCGCCCUCUUUUUCUCCUCCAUACCUGUAAGGGAAAUCUGUUUUUAAGAUAGAGUUAAAGUGGUUAUCUGCCAGAUUUAGUUUUCUGUCCAUCUUUGGUGCUAAGCGCUCCUUGUUGCGUUUUUUUUACCCUUCACUUUUCAGAGAUCACUUCCUUGUUGAUUUGUGUUACCGUCUUGUGUUUUCCUCAGUUUUUUUUUUUCAUUUCCUGUAGGUGGCGCUCUUUUCUUUGUUUGUUUAACCAUGCAGGCUUUACCUCUAUUUCUUCUUCUAUAGAGUGCUGCCUGAAUGAGUCCUAAAACCCAGAAAUAAGUCAGCAUUUCAGCAUUCCUGGUUCCCUUGACUCAAAGUCGGUGGGUUUUUGAACGCAGUUUUUGACAUGACUCAAAAAAGGUGGUUGCUGACAAGCGGCUAAAUGCGCCUUGUUGUGGUGGUGGAACACAUUUUCAUCCCAACACGUCAAAUCCACUUUGUCAGUGGACCUUGACGUCCAAAUUUUGUCAUGCUAGGUACCCUCAUGGAUCUCCUGUUGACAAUCCCGGAUGGCCCGUCACUUUACAUUUGUAACAUUCAUUGUGUUUUUUCAAAAUAAAAGUACAACAUAGGUAAUACACUUAAUUUUCAAGUUUAUUUUCUUGUGCAACAAAAGUUAGGUUUAGAAAAAAGAUUAUGGCUUUUUAAACAGGAAGCACACAGCGGGCUACAGGGUGAAAGUCCAGGGUUUGUUGGACCCAUCCACUUGCCAAAGAUGUCUCUUUGCAUUGUUGCCUGGCGCUGACAUCACUAAUUAAGCAGCGGUAUUUGGGGAGCUGGGAGUGAGACAGGCUGGGUGGUGGUGUUGGAGCCAUGCAGCCAUGGUGCAGUUUGUUGAGUUUGUCCAGAGUUUGUUUGAACCACCAGCAUCAGUGCAGACUUUAUAGCUCUUUAUACAACAGCUCAGAGCUUGAAAAAAAAUGCCACAGCCCAGUGCAUCUCAUACCACUGCUCAAGGGUGCCUCAGUGUGUUGGUAUCUGACGCCGAGGGCCACCAGCCAAUCGUCAGUAUUGGAUGAGUUAGAAGUGAGACUGGAUUGCAUUUACUUUGUAAUUACUCAACAAAAUGUGUAAGUAUAUAAACGUUUGUGUGACCCAGAGAUUAUUUUUUUGUCAUCAUCCAAAUCUAAUGGAAAAAUCCCAUUAAGUUUUCGUCAAGGGAACCUGGGAGAUGCUAACGUCCGGGUUGACCAACAAAAAUGACGACUUAGCAGCACUCUAUUAACCAUAAACAAAUCUAAAACAUGAAGCCCAUCACUUCCAUAUGCCAGAGUAUUUUUCAUCCCCAGUUUUAUGUGAUGAGCAGCAAAUAGAAAGCUGUUAUGAUGUUAUAAAAUAAGUUAUAAAGUCACAUUUUCAUGAAAAUGUUGCUUCAUUGAUUUAUUGACAAAAAAUCAUAGGUUUUAUCUUUAAACUUUUCUUAUCUACAUCUCAUCUAAUUGCACAAGUACAGCUGAGCAAAAUCUUUUUACAUGCAUAACAUGUGCCAUCGCCAUUUCAUGAAUAGCCUGUCAGCACUGAGGUCACUUAAUGCUUUUGUGUUGGGUCACCUCUGGGCUCAGAUUCAUCGGAUACUCACAUACUCGCCGAGAACAUCUCAACACAACAGAUCCCUUUUUGUAUCUUAAAAUCACAGGUACUCUUUCUUAAUUGACUUACAUUUUUGAAGCUGAUGGUCCUGAACUUACCGUAAAGAUUAAAAAAAGACAACAAACUGUUGAUAUGCAAUUGUUAUACAUACUAUAUUUGUAUAAAUAAAUCUAUGUGCUUGUGUACAGUGAAUGUCUUGUUGUCCCUUCCUUUGUAUCCCAUACUUCAUCUUCAUGGUAUCAUUUAGUAUUUUGUCAUCUGUAGCAUCAGCAGUUAU